UACGAAGGGGGCUAGCGUUGCUCGGAAUCACUGGGCGUAAAGCGCACGUAGGCGGCUUUCUAAGUCAGGGGUGAAAUCCUGGAGCUCAACUCCAGAACUGCCUUUGAUACUGGAGAGCUUGAGUCCGGGAGAGGUGAGUGGAACUGCGAGUGUAGAGGUGAAAUUCGUAGAUAUUCGGAAGAACACCAGUGGCGAAGGCGACUCACUGGACACGUAUUGACGCUGAGGUGCGAAAGCGUGGGGAGCAAACAGG
rnacentral:rRNA from 1 species